AUGCCAAGGGGCACAUCUCGGAGGGAACAACGUUCCCUCUUCUUUCUCCAGCAUGUACAGCCUACCCCUGGAAGCAGCCCAGAAGUCUCCAGGAGCCCAGAGGCUGCUCGCAGCAGGAUGGCAUCUCCCAGCUGGGGAAGGGGAAACCUCUACCUACAGCCCUCCCGCUGGGCGCCUGUCCCACACUGCCUGCUCUCUGCUUCGUCAUCAGAGACAGACAGCAUCUGAGUAGUCAUUAUCUCCCGCAGAAGUACACAAACUGGAAAUAGGUGUUUCCUCAGUGCCUGAAUUUUGAAGUCUGGAGUGCGGAUUCUUCAAUAGAUGUGGCAGCAUGUGGGUAUUCUCUCCCGUUUUAGAACUCAAGUUGCUAUAACAACCCACAGCAUCUGCUCAAUACGGUACCUAAGUGUCUUUUUUUUUUUUCCCCUUCCUUUCCUUUCGGGUCUCCUAUUCUUCUGAAGUAGUCAAGUGCUUUGCUUUGGUUUUUAUUUAAGGAGCUAGCUUAUGCUCUGAUGUCUAUAUGCAGAAUGACCUGAAAGAAAACAAAACCUGUGCUGAAAAGAUCACAAGUUUUAGAGAAUAUCUGGCCAAGUGGGAUGAGUUCUGUGCUCAGCCCAGUUCCUGACAAAGUCAAGAUUCACCAGUUCUGUGACAUGAAAUUGAAAUUAAGUGCUACAGCAUGUGGCAGUGUGGGUUUCUCUGAUGAAUGAUGGACAAAUAAUGGACACUAUCAGGGAGCCACUGACAGAACAAGAGCCAAGAGAUGGACAAUCUGGUCUUGCCUCUAACUG